UACAGAGGGUGCGAGCGUUGUUCGGAAUUACUGGGCGUAAAGGGCUCGUAGGCGGCCAACUAAGUCGGAUGUGAAAUCCCCAGGCUUAACCUGGGAACUGCAUCCGAUACUGGAUGGCUUGAAUUCGGGAGAGGGAUGCAGAAUUCCAGGUGUAGCGGUGAAAUGCGUAGAUAUCUGGAGGAAUACCGGUGGCGAAGGCGGCAUCCUGGACCGGCAUUGACGCUGAUGAGCGAAAGCUAGGGGAGCAAACGGG
rnacentral:rRNA from 1 species